GUACUGAAGCUGGAAUCUCUAGAUAUAUGGCACUGCUAUGGUUUGUCUAAGGUUGCCAAUCUUCCUCCGUCUAUCAAGACCUUGGGCAUUUAUUACUGCGGCAAUCUUCAAUCCUUAUCAGGACAGCUAGGUGACAUCCAAAUAUUAACUAUUCACUCAUGCAGUCGGUUGGAAUCACUGGAUUCUUGCUUAGGAGAGCUCCGGUCGCUGGAAGAACUCGAGCUUUAUGGUUGCAAAAGUCUGGUAUCCUUACCGGAUGGGCCUCAAGCAUACUCAUCCCUUAGAAUUCUUGGGAUUAGACAUUGUGAUGGUGUGAAGUCGCUCCCGCCGAGCCUACAGAGCCGUUUGGGUUGCCUCGAGCAGGAAGUUCUAGAUGCCCGUUAUGAAGGCUGGUCAAUGAGGAGGCUGGUCAACAAGGCUGCGACGAGAUUGUUCCCGUGUUCCCGAGAUGAGGAGAGUGACAGUGAUUGAAACAGCAGAUCAAGGACCUGACGAAAGUUAUCACCAAGGAUCGUUGUUACCAGACUUGCAAAUGAUGGAUUGUUGUUACCGUGGUAGAAUGUAUUACGUACACUUUCUGAAGAUAAUCUCCAGUAAAGUCAAGGCCAGCUCCUUGAUUUUGAGCAGAAGCAAGUCAUAGAUUGCAAGCUGAAGAAUAUAGCAUAUAGAUGUAAUCAUCUUAACCCUGUGUUCACGCUCAAACUCAAGUUCUGGUAGCAUAGUGUUGAGCUCGGCUUGAAGGAUCAUAUCCUCCCGAGCGCGUCGUUGUAACGUGGCCACGGCGUGCGUCUUGUUCGCGUCGUGGCGAGUGCAGCCGCUGGCUGCGCGGCAUGGCCAGGCGUGUGGGGUGGGGCAUGCUUCCAGGGUCGUGGCGCGCAUGGCGUGCAUGCCGGAGGCGCGAGGCUAGCUCCGCCACUCCUUCUUUCUCGUUUCCUUUUACAGUUUGUAGUGUGUAUAAAUAGGAAUUAUAUAUGCAGAAAAAGCUGUCAUGGUUGUGCACGGCACCAAAAAAAUCCACUUGUGUUCUUCUC